rnacentral:rRNA from 1 species
GACGAACGCUAGCGACAGGCUUAACACAUGCAAGUCGAGGGGCAGCAAGAAUUGUAGCAAUACAAUUUGUUGGCGACCGGCGCACGGGUGAGUAACGCGUAUGCAACCUACCUAUCAGAGGGGGAUAGCCCGGUGAAAGCCGGAUUAAUACCGCAUAAAACAGGGAUCCCGCAUGGGAAUAUUUGCUAAAGAUUUAUUGCUGAUAGAUGGGCAUGCGUUCCAUUAGUUAGUUGGUGAGGUAACGGCUCACCAAGACAUCGAUGGAUAGGGGUUCUGAGAAGAAGGUCCCCCACACUGGUACUGAGACACGGCCCAAACUCCUACGGGAGGCAGCAGUGGGGGAUAUUGCACAGUGGGGGAAACCCUGAUGCAGCGACGCCGCGUGAGUGAAGACGGCCUUCGGGUUGUAAAGCUCUGUUGUGGGGGACGAAACAAAUGACGGUACCCCACCAGAAAGCCACGGCUAACUACGUGCCAGCCGCCGCUGUAAUAC